UACAGAGGGUGCAAGCGUUAAUCGGAAUUACUGGGCGUAAAGCGCACGUAGGUGGUUUGGCAAGUUGGAUGUGAAAGCCCUGGGCUUAACCUGGGAACUGCAUUCAAUACUACCAAGCUAGAGUAGAGUAGAGGGAAGUGGAAUUUCCGGUGUAGCGGUGAAAUGCGUAGAUAUCGGAAGGAACACCAGUGGCGAAGGCGGCUUCCUGGACUCAUACUGACACUGAGGUGCGAAAGCGUGGGGAGCAAACAGG
rnacentral:rRNA from 1 species